UCACUCACACACACUCUCUCAAGCACUCACUCACACCCGCGAGAUAUGCACCGUCUCUGACCAAGAGCUCGUUAGACCUCGUUCGAAUGAUGUCUCUGACUGAGAGCUCAUCUUCUCUUAUCCUCCCAAUUUCUCUAUCAAUCUCGCGAUAGUAGGGCCAGAGCUCGAGCUCGCUGUUCUCUCUCUCUCUCUCUGAAAACCUCCUCAUCUGCAAAUCUCAUCGCUAUUCAACGCUGGAAUCCAGACUAUUAGAUCUCCUCUCUGAUUGCCUCUCGCCGUUGGAGACCCUUCUAUCAUUCUCUGAUUGAGAAUGAGUACGGAUGUCGAGUCAGCUUGUGGAUCAGCAGCUAAAAAAUUACUAUAUGAUAAUUGGUGUUUGCAAUUUCUCUUUAUUUUAAUCAGUGUGAAACUUUUCAUUGAAUUUGAUAUAUUUUCUUAUAGUCUUAUAAUUUCUUUCUAUUUUAAUCAAUGUGAAACUUAUAGUUUCAUUUGAUAUGUUUUCUUAAAGUAUCAUGGUGGGACCAACUUUGGUCACACUUCAGGUGGCCCAUGUAUUGCUAUAAGUUAUGACUAUGAUGCUCCUCUUGAUGAAAAUGGCAUCAUAAGGCAACCAAAAUGGGGACACCUGAAGGAACUACAUAAAGCUUUAAAGCUUUGUGAACAAGCAUUGGUGGCAACUGAUCCAACAUUUAGUUUUCUUUCUCCAAAUGUGGAGGUAUGACCACCACAUUUAAAUGUUUUGGAGAUUUAAAGUUCUAGAUCCCAUGCCUUAAUUUCUGAAACCAGGCAUAAAAUCAGAUUAUAUAAUUCCUUGAUAUGAGUAUUGUUCUAUUAUAUUUUUAAUGUUUAACCAAGUUCAGAAUGUUAAGGAGCCAAUGAAAUUGAUAGCUUGAAGGUCGUAUAGUUUAAUUGAACAUGAGAGCUUAGAGUAGCUAAAGCUACUAGGUUAUAGUUGAUUUACAGACACAUGUAAAGAAUCUGAUAAUAGGUUGAUUUAUUAGAGAUGGGUGGGGAUCCUACACAGAUAUCUUUUGCAACAAAACAUAUUCGAAGCAUGUGUGUGCAUGUAUCAUAGUUGCACCAUGGCCUAAUACUUCCACUUCUUGUAUUGUCCAAUUUUUCAGUGUAGCUAAAAUGGUAUAAUACUCACUUUUGAUUUAUGUAGUGUUGUCUUCAUGAAUAAUACACAAUUGUUCACUGCUGUGUGGUCAUCAUUUCUUUUUAAA